GUGAGGCGUUAGCUUAAUUAAAGUAUCUGGGUUGCAGUCAGAAGAUGUAUAUUAAUGUUAUACGCGCUUUC
rnacentral:tRNA from 1 species